rnacentral:rRNA from 1 species
AUUGAACGCUGGCGGCAGGCCUAACACAUGCAAGUCGAACGAGUGGCGGACGGGUGAGUCAUGUCUGGGAAACUGCCCGAUGGAGGGGGAUACCUACUGGAAACGGUAGCUACUACCGCAUACCAUCGGAUGUGCCCAGAUGGGAUUAGCUAGUAGGUGGGGUAACGGCUCACCUAGGCGACGAUCCCUAGCUGGUCUGAGAGGAUGACAAUCCACAAGGGAACUGAGACACAGUCCAGACUCCUUCGGGAGGCAGCAGUGGGGAGUAUUGCACAAUGGGCGCAAGCCUGAUGCAGCCAUGCCGCGUGUAUGAAGAAGGCCUUCGGGUUGUAAAGUACUUUCAGCGAGGAGGCGUUACUCGCAGAAGAAGCACCGGCUAACGCCGUGCCAGCAGCCGCGGUAAUUC